UACAGAGGUCCCAAGCGUUGUUCGGAUUCACUGGGCGUAAAGGGUGCGUAGGUGGUCAGGUAAGUCUGAUGUGAAAUCUCUGGGCUCAACCCAGAAACUGCAUUGGAUACUAUCUGGCUAGAGGAGUGGAGGGGGGACUGGAAUACUUGGUGUAGCAGUGAAAUGCGUAGAUAUUGGGAAGAACACCGGUGGCGAAGGCGGCUAUCUGGCCCGUAAUUGACGCUGAGGCGCGAAAGCGUGGGGAGCAAACAGG
rnacentral:rRNA from 1 species